rnacentral:lncRNA from 1 species
AUGAGAGCGCGUGUGUGUGCGCGCGCGCGGGCUGGCGGGCGCGUGUGCGCGUGUCUGCGCGCUCAGCCGCUCGGCGCGCUCGGCAAUCGAUUACAGGACAAGUGCUGCCCCGGCUGCUUCGCGACGGGCGCAAUCUCUCGCGCCCAUCCGUGCGCCCGGCCGCGUCGCCCCCGGUCCGUAGGUCCCCGGACGGCGGACCCACCUCUGACGGGGGCCCAGUCAUUCCACAACCACAAGGUUAACCAAGCUUGGAAUAAACUUGCCACAAUAGAAAGAAACUUAGAGAAACAAAACUGCUCCUUGGUGAAUACCGUAGAGCUGCUGGAUCAAGCAUUGCCUGCAACUUCCAUUGCUAGUGGCCCUUUUAGUUUAGUUUCACUGUUGUUACACAGACUGGAGUGCAAUGGCACGAUCUUGGCUCACCGCAACCUCCACCUCCUGGGUUCAAGCAAUUCUCCUGCCUCAGCCUCCUGA